rnacentral:rRNA from 1 species
UACGUAGGGUGCGAGCGUUAAUCGGAAUUACUGGGCGUAAAGUGUGCGCAGGCGGCCGCGCAAGUCGAGUGUGAAAGCCCCGAGCUUAACUUGGGAAUUGCGCUCGAAACUACGUGGCUGGAGUGUGGCAGAGGAAGGUGGAAUUCCACGUGUAGCGGUGAAAUGCGUAGAGAUGUGGAGGAACACCAAUGGCGAAGGCAGCCUUCUGGGCCAACACUGACGCUCAUGCACGAAAGCGUGGGGAGCGAACAGG